rnacentral:miRNA from 1 species
UCUAGUUAAUGAUGUAUUUCUAUGUAUGUACAUAUGCAUUUCUAUGUAUGUGCAUACGUACAUAUGUACACACAUAGAAAUGCAUCAUUAACUAGAUA